CGUAGGUGAACCUGCGGAAGGAUCCUUAGUGAAUUAAACAUGCUUGGUGUUUUCGGUUCGGCAAGGCCCUUGCUUAAAUCACAUCCUAACACCUGUGAACUGUAAGACGUAUGAUGAGGUCUUUGGCCAAGUCAUCGUCUGUCCAUUUUUAACAAACAAUUAAUGUAACAAACGUAGUCUUAUUAUAACCUAAUAAAACUUUCAACAACGGAUCUCUUGGCUCUCGCAUCGAUGAAGAACGCAGCGAAAUGCGAUAAGUAAUGUGAAUUGCAGAAUUCAGUGAAUCAUCGAAUCUUUGAACGCACCUUGCGCUCUUUGGUAUUCCGAAGAGCAUGCCUGUUUGAGUGUCAUGAAAAUAUCAACCUUGACUUGGGUUUUGUGCUCUAGUCUUGGCUUGGAAUUGGGUGCUUGCCGCUUUUACGAGCGGCUCACCUUAAAUGUAUUAGCUGGAUCUGUCUUUGAGACUUGGUUUGACUUGGCGUAAUAAGUAUUUCGCUAAGGACAUUCUUCGGAGUGGCCUCGUUUCUAGGACGCUUGUCCGCUUCCCAAUACAAGUUCCACCUCGUGGACAUGACUUUUUUAUU
rnacentral:misc_RNA from 1 species